GGGCUGGGGGCGGGCCUGGGCUGGGCGGGGAGGGGCGGAGGCAGCCAGCGGGCCGCGUCGGGGGCUCGAGGGACCCCCCCCGCUUCUCCGCCAGCGGGGGCUGGGCCCAGGCAGCGUGACAUGUGAUUCUCAAACAGACCCUUCCAGUCAUUUAUUUCUGAAUCCCCUUAAGGGAGUGUUGGAGGAGCAGAGACCUGGCCUUGAUGUCACAUUUCACUGGAAAAAGCAAUAUGCCCCUAGACUGGAUGCUGCUGCUUUAAACGGAGUUGAUUCCAGUUCCUUUGAUUUGGAGAAUGACACCCCACCCCCACCUCAUCCCACCUUCCUCUUCACAACUGCUGAAACCUGGAGUUCAGCCAGAGCCAGAGAUGGAAAUGGGUCUGUGCUGGACAGGACAGAGGUCAGCAGAACCUUUUGA
rnacentral:lncRNA from 1 species